rnacentral:rRNA from 1 species
CGGUGGAGCAUGUGGUUUAAUUCGACGCAACGCGCAGAACCUUACCAGGGUUUGACAUCCUGCGACCGCUCCCUAAUAGAUUUCCGCGCAAACAGGUGUGACGAGCGCAACCCUCGCCUUUAGUUGCCAUCGGGAUGUCAAGUCUCAUGGCCCUUACACCCUGGCUACAUACAUGGCGGUGACAUGGGCAGCUACUUCGCGAGAAGCGGCUUCCCAAAAAACCGUCCCAGUUCAAAUUGCACUGCAACUCGAGUGCAUGAAGGUGGAAUCGCUAGUAAUCGAGAACAGCAGGCUGCGGUGAAUACGUUCCCGGGCCUUGUACACACCGCCGUCACGGCAUGGGAGUUGGUUCUACCUUAAGAUGGUGCGCUAACCGCAAGGACGCA